UUCAAGUGAUGGAUAAGCCACAACUGAGCCGAACGAUUUUACCUCCACCUGCCUCCCACUCCCAACCACACAUUCUCUCUUUUAUCCUCUCCUCUCCUGUCUCCCCCUGGCUCUCUCUCUCACUGUCAUUUACAUACACGCAACUGGAAUAAUCAACCAGUGUUGUAUUUCAUUCCUCUCUCUUUCUCUCAUUCUUAAUCCUUCUAUUUCUCCUCUUGCAAUAACAAUACAAGGUAUAAUAGUAUUCAAGACAAAUAAUAUUGGAGUUACAACGUGGUCCGGUCCUCAUCCUUUCUACUUUUUAAUUUCCAAACACAAACGCAGAUUCCCCCCCCCCCCCUAAAUUUAUACACCCUACCUAAGUCUAUGUUUGUGUCAGAUGCUAGGCUGAAUAUUUCUAAAGAAGAUGACGAUAUUCAAGAUCAAGCAGAAAAUAGACCGCACCUCAAUUCCACCAACAACCACUGCAUCAAGAAGAAGAAGAAGUAUAAGUUUAUGGUGACCAAUAAGAACAAGAAGAAGAAGAAGAAAGAUGUUUCUUUCAGAGAAAGUUACAGUACUAGUGAUCAUCGAUCAUCCGGUGGUGGUGGUGGUGGUGGUGGUGGAAACAUUGAUUUCAACAAGCCAACCAAAGUGAUCUUCUUUCCAUUUAAUAACCCCAACAAAUUUUUCUAUAAAAAAAGCUCCCCUUUUUCUCCAUCUUCUUCUUCAAGUACUGCCGCUGUUUCUGGUAAUGCUUGUUUUCCAGGUCCAGAGUAUACUCUGCUUGCCAUCAACUUGAACAAAUUACUAUUGCUGAACUCGGUCUUGUCUGCUUCUUGCUGCUAUGUUAACUGUUUACCUCUUGGAUGGAGAAUUGGAGUUGGAAGCAGCUCUAUGAUAUAAUAUUAAGGAUACAAAUUUCAGGCACAAUUAUUGGUGAAGGCUAGGGAGCUUCAGAAGGAUAUUGAUAUUUAGAGGGCGUGGCUUAGAGCAUUCUGGUCCUCUGCAAUACUGGAAGAGCUUUCCAACAUCUUUGUUUUUUUUUUUUUUUCAAUCUCUUUAUAUACAGUGGCUGAGUCAAGUAGUUUGAGUAUUACUUCUUGCUUUUUACAGCACAGUUCCAUGAUCACUCCUGAUCAAUGCCUUUGAAUUGUUAGGUUGAAUGAGUGUUAAGGUCUUUGUACGAGCGAUGGAAUUUUUGACAUGUUGAAAUCAUUGAUUGAGCAGAAUGAUUUUUAUUCCAAAGGAUGCAUUAUUUUCUAAUGUAUAGACAUGAUAUUUUUCUUAUUUCUUUAAACACAACCGCUAAGUCAAGUAGUUUGAGGGUUAUUCUUGUUUCUGUACUGACAGCGCAGUACCCCGAUAAGUCUUUGCCAUGUGCUUUUAGGUGCAUCAGUGUUGAAGGUUUUUAGUAUGAUUGAUGAACUUGAACAUGAGUACGACUUUGCUAUGUGCUUUUAGGUAUGACUCUUAGGUUCAUCUACUGUUUAUUUGGAUGUAGAUUUCAUGUACGAUUAUAUGCAUAGACUAGGUAAAUUCAGAAGGAUUCAGGCACAUGGUAGAUAUGGAAAGAGUAAUUGUGCUUCUCUUGGAUUGUAGAUUCUUGGUUUCUGUAAUUAGAUGUAAUGCCGAAACUGCUUUUGUAUAUAUCCUGAUUGGUUACAGUAACGUGUUCAACUGGCAGCUCUUUUAUCCAAGGUAACGAGUUUCUUUCUCGAUGACGUUCAGCAUGAAAGUUGCUGGCUAGCUACCUAUACUUGAGCUUAAAUACAAGCGGAAACGAGUAGCGAGGGCCGUGUCCUUAAAUGAUCACAUCCUCUUUAAGAAUCAACAUAAAGACGGAAAAAUUUACAGAUGGAUUAAUUGUUUCCAAUGCCUGAGGCUUUCGCGAUUCUCUGCUUGUAUUCUUGGUCUUCUCAGGGGAGCUACCAUUAAGAAUCUAUUGAGGGGGGGAAUUCAGUAGGAUUUAAGCAUGUGGAAGAAACGGCAAGAGUAAUUGUGCUUCAUCUGAAUUGUAAAUUUUUGUUUCAAAUGGAUUUUGGUGCAUUCUUGUGUGGUAAAUUAUGUUCCCCUCGAUGUCUUCUAAUCUAGUAAAGCUUGUUUAGUAGUUUGAAUGAUACUUGAUGAUGUUCCAAAAAUUCAAUAUAUUUAAAAAUAAAGUUUUUUUUGAGUGUUUGAAUAGUGAGUAA